UACGGGGGGGGCAAGCGUUGUUCGGAAUUACUGGGCGUAAAGGGCUCGUAGGCGGCCAACUAAGUCCGACGUGAAAUCCCCAGGCUUAACCUGGGAACUGCGUCGGAUACUGGAUGGCUUGAAUUCGGGAGAGGGAUGCGGAAUUCCAGGUGUAGCGGUGAAAUGCGUAGAUAUCUGGAGGAAUACCGGUGGCGAAGGCGGCAUCCUGGACCGACAUUGACGCUGAUGAGCGAAAGCUAGGGGAGCAAACGGG
rnacentral:rRNA from 1 species